rnacentral:rRNA from 1 species
UACGUAGGGGGCAAGCGUUGUCCGGAAUCAUUGGGCGUAAAGAGCUCGUAGGCGGUCUGUCGCGUCUGCUGUGAAAACUCGGGGCUUAACCCCGGGCCUGCAGUGGGUACGGGCAGACUAGAGUGCGGUAGGGGAGACUGGAAUUCCUGGUGUAGCGGUGAAAUGCGCAGAUAUCAGGAGGAACACCGGUGGCGAAGGCGGGUCUCUGGGCCGUAACUGACGCUGAGGAGCGAAAGCAUGGGGAGCGAACAGG